rnacentral:snoRNA from 1 species
UGGAUUGUGAGGAUGUUAUUGAUGCAUAAUCCAACACUUGAUCAGUAGGCGGCUUUUGUUGUCCAUAUGAUGUUGUACAUCUUGCAUUUGAAUCCAU